GAUGAACGCUGGCGGCGUGCCUAAUACAUGCAAGUCGAGCGAACAGACGAGGCGCUUGCUCCUCUGACGUUAGCGGCGGACGGGUGAGUAACACGUGUAUACCCUCCCUAUAAGACUGGGAUCACUUCGGGAAACCGGAUCUAAUACCGGAUAAUAUAUUGAACCGCAUGGUUCAUUGGAGAAAGACGGUUUUGCUGUCACUUAUAGAUGCUUCCGCGCCGCUUUAGCUAGUUGGUACGGUAACGGCUUACCACGGCGACGCUGCGUGACCGACCUGACAGGGUGAUCGGCCACACUGGAACUGAGACACGGUCCAGACUCCUACGGGAGGCAGCAGUAGGGAAUCUUCCGCAAUGGGCGAAAGCUUGACGCAGCAACGCCGCGUGAGUGAUGAAGGUCUUCGGAUCGUAAAACUCUGUUAUUAGGGAAGAACAGAUGUGUAAGUAAAUAUGCACGUCUUGACGGUACCUACUCAGAAAGCCACGGCUAACUACGUG
rnacentral:rRNA from 1 species